rnacentral:rRNA from 1 species
CUACGGGCCGCUGCAGUGAGGAAUAUUGCACAAUGGGGGGAACCCUGAUGCAGCAACGCCGCGUGGAGGAUGACGCAUUUCGGUGUGUAAACUCCUUUUAUAUGUCAAGAAAAUGACGGUAGCAUAUGAAUAAGCACCGGCUAACUCCGUGCCAGCAGCCGCGGUAAAACGGAGGGUGCAAGCGUUACGCGGAAUCACUGGGCGUAAAGGACGCGUAGGCGGGUUGGAAAGUCAGGUGUGAAAUCCUACAGCUUAACUGUAGAACUGCACUUGAAACUUCUAAUCUAGAGUAUGGGAGGGGGAGAUGGAAUUAGUGGUGUAGGGGUAAAAUCCGUAGAUAUCACUAGGAAUACCUAAAGCGAAGGCGAUCUCCUGGAACAUUACUGACGCUAAGGCGUGAAAGCGUGGGGAGCAAACAGGAUUAGAUACCCCCGUAGUC